rnacentral:tRNA from 1 species
UCCGGUGUGUCUAGUGGCUAGGAUAUUUGGCUUUCACCCAGAAGGCCCGGGUUCGAUUCCCGGCGUCGGAA